AACGAACGCUGGCGGCAUGCCUAACACAUGCAAGUCGAACGAGACCUUCGGGUCUAGUGGCGCACGGGUGCGUAACGCGUGGGAACCUGCCCUUAGGUUCGGAAUAACUCCCCGAAAGGGGUGCUAAUACCGGAUAAUGUCUUCGGACCAAAGAUUUAUCGCCUUUGGAUGGGCCCGCGUUGGAUUAGCUAGUUGGUAGGGUAAAAGCCUACCAAGGCGACGAUCCAUAGCUGGUCUGAGAGGAUGAUCAGCCACACUGGGACUGAGACACGGCCCAGACUCCUACGGGAGGCAGCAGAGGGGAAUAUUGGACAAUGGGCGAAAGCCUGAUCCAGCAAUGCCGCGUGAGUGAUGAAGGCCUUAGGGUUGUAAAGCUCUUUUACCCGGGAUGAUAAUGACAGUACCGGGAGAAUAAGCACCGGCUAACUCCGUG
rnacentral:rRNA from 1 species